rnacentral:lncRNA from 1 species
GGGUGCUUCGGAUCGGGAGUAACCACUAGUGAGAGGGCAAAAAUUGGAGGGAAGGACAAAGGAAAGAGCGAUGCCUGCAUUAAAUCAAUUGAUUCGUCAUGGUAGAGAAGAAAAACGGCCAACAUAAUACUUUGUUAUAUAAACCUAGGGCUAUUUACGAUUAGAAAGUUAAGAGGUCUUAGAUCUGCAAGCCCUACAUCUUUGAUGCAGGGGCGGAGCUAGAUUGGGGGAGCGGAUUCAGCCGAACCCAAUAGCUUUAGUUUGAACUCUAUUUUUUUCUUUUGAAGUCUGUUUGAAUAUAUAAAAAUUAUUAAUUUAGAACCUAAUAACUUAAAUAAAUUAGAAUCCCCGAACCCAUAAGCUUGAAAUCAUGCCUUUCGCCUCUACUUUGAUGCAACCAUUGAUUCUCAUGAGAGGUCACAAUUGUUGCGCAGGAAGGCAUUUUUGUUAUUCUACUAAUACUUGCUCUGCUCUACUCUGUACGGGCGUAAAACAAAAGCACCUUAAAGGUCCAACAUUAUCAACUGAACACAUUUCCAUGUAAAAUUAGGCGUAUAUUCAUCAAAACUGUUUCUUUACAGCUCAAUAUAUCUUCAUUUUCUGAGUUACAAAAUAGAUUCAUAAUCUAUGAACUGGUCUCCAUUGCCAGAUAGCAAAGGCUGCAAUAAAUACUCGUCUAAAAAUGGUUUACCCCAUGCAGGAAGUGCUCCGCGGCUAGUGUCUGAGUAUGGACUGGUAGGUGUAUAUUGUACAGAAUAAAUACUUAGCUUGCAUGAGAAAAAAUCAUGUCUUUUGAAACAGAUCAAAGAGAGUUUCUGGCUUGUCUGCAUCCCCAAUAUCCACAUUCUCUUGUAUAUCGAUAACCAGAGGUUCAGAUGAAUGCCUCUCAUUAUCUGCAUUCUCCUCUGUAUCAGUGACCAGAUAUUCGGAUGAAUAUUGCCUAUUUCUGAAGGAAAGUUCAUGUGAGGUUUCAACAAUGCAAUCUUCUUGUUGAUCAUUUGACAG